rnacentral:misc_RNA from 1 species
GAUGAAGCAACAGAAGAAUCGAUAAUACAAAAUGGCUUCUUGUUAAAGAAUGAACGUAUGCGUAUUAUCAAGUGAAGUGAUUCCAUAAUAUUUUCAUUAUUUAUAAUUUAUAUAACAUCAACAUGGGCUCAUCCGAUGUAGAUUUAGAUUCCAAAAGAGAAAUUACUGGUAUAGACUCUGAAUCAGAUAUGCUCGGAGAUCAAAGGAAAAAGAAAAAAAGAAAACAUAAACACCACAAACAUAAAAAAGAUAGAGUGAUAGAGAAAGAAGAUGGAAGAAUAGAUAGACAAGAAAGAAAAAAACACAAGAAACAUAAAAGACCACAUAAAGAAAAAGGAAUAGCAAAUGGUGGGUUGUCAGAGGAAACAUUACAACGUAUUAAUCAGAAACGUAUAAGUCGUAUUGGCAUGAAUGGCAAAGUUAAAAAUUCAUUGUUGGAAAUAGUUUCUACAGAAGAAAGUGAAGAUGAAAAACUUGUGGAUCUUGAUUCGGAUGAAGUCGAUUGUACUAUUAUUGAAGAUGAUAUUGAUUUGGAGGAAUUAAUGAAACAAAAGGAACGAUUACAAGCGUGUUUAGUUCAAUACUUGUCAGAUGAAUCUGAAAAGGAAGAUAAGGAACUCGAAGAGGAAGAAGAGGAGGAAGAGGAAGAAGAAGAAGGAGAAGAGGAAGAAGAUGAAGGAGAGGAGGAUGAAGAAAUAAAAGCGGAAACACCAGAUGUAAUAGUCGUAGAAGAUGAUAGCGAAGAUGACAAUAUACUCCACAAAAAACGACCUAGAAGUAAGUCAGGAAGUAGGGAACGUAAAAAAAUAUCAAAGCCUGAAAGGCGAGUUAUAGUAGAUAUGAGUAGAGAUCGAAGAAGCAGAGAAGACCACAAAGAUAAGAGAAGGGAUUCUGACAGAAGAAGAGAGGAUAAGACUCGGCCAAGAGAAGAAAUAAAAAGAGAUGAUGUGAGAAGAGAUGAGAAACGAAAAACUAACGAGAGGCAUAAGGAUGAUUCUAGGAAAGAAGAUUCUAGGAAAAGGAUAGAAGAAGAUAGACGUAAAGAAACUAGUAGUAGUAGUAGAAGGGAUGAACCACGUAAAAGAGAGUACGAUAGAAGGGAGGAAGAACGAGGAGACAGAAAGCGAGACUUGGGUCGACAUUUAUCUAGAUCUCAUAAUGAUUCAAAAAGUCAAGAUACUAAAGUUGAUAUAAAGCAUAUUUCAUCGAGACGCGAUAGUCGUGAUAGAGGAGACAAUCGGGAUCGUCAAAGCAGUCGAGAUCGGCAAUCAAGUCGAGAUCGGCAUAAUAGUCGCGAUCGUUAUAAUCGAGACAGACCACUAAGUAAAGAUCGUCAUUCCAGUCGUGAUAAAAGAGACAGUAGAGAACGACAUGCUAGUCGAGAUCGUCAUGCAAAUAGAGAUAGACAAGCCAGUCGUGAUACGGAUGCACGAGAUCGACGUGAUAGUCGGAAUCAUGAGAAAAUUAGAGAACGAUCUAGAAGUAUAAGAAGAUCUCGUAGUCCCCUUAGAAAUAGAAUGGAUAGAGAUCGCAAUGAUCGUUAUAAAAGAUCGCGUUCUUUGUCUCGAAGUCGUAGGGAUAGGGAAAAACACAUUCGAGAUCAUGACAGGGAUAGAGAAAAGAAUGGUAAAAAAGAAAGAAGUGAUAAGUACAAAGAUUCUUUAUCGGAAGGCCUAAAAGUAGAACGUUCUGACAGUUCUAGCGAAGACGAUAUGAAGGAUAUCGACAUUGAAGAAGAGGAGGAUGAGGAAGCUAUUAUUGAACGUAGAAGGAAACAAAGAGAAGAGUUACUCAAGCGAUUAAAUGGACCAAAUGAGGAUUCAAAUAUGUCUGCCGAUGUAACAGCUGUCACUGGAACUCCUCCGUCAGAAAGUCAUUCAAAUACAUCUCAAAAAUCACCAGAGAUGCCUUCAAAUAAUAAUGAAUCUACUUCGGAGAGUCAUACUCCACCACUGCCUGAAAAACCAAAAUCACCACAGCCAGUUAAAAAAAGAAAGUCUAGAUUUGAGGAUGCAUUACCAGAAGAAUCUGAAAAGAUUGAAAACAUAAAAAUUACAGAGAAAGUUAAACAAGAUGAAAAACAAAGUACAAAAAAAACAAAUGAAUGGGAUAUGUUUGCUGAAGCUGAUAAUAUUGGUGAUUUUAAUAGUCCUACCGUUGAAGGUAAACGUUUAGGUGGUCCAGACAAUCCUAGUUUAACAGAUAAUUGGGAUGAUGCGGAAGGAUAUUAUCGUGUUCGAGUUGGCGAGACACUGGAUUCUCGAUAUGUUGUUUAUGGUUACACGGGACAAGGAGUUUUUAGCAAUGUCGUAAGGGCUAGAGACAGUGCACGAGGCAAUUUAGAUGUUGCUGUAAAAAUUAUUCGGAAUAAUGAAAUUAUGCAUCGUACUGGUCUUAAGGAAUUAGAAAUCCUUCGGAAGCUCAACGAUGCAGAUCCAGAAGAUCGAUUUCAUUGUUUGAGACUAUUUAGGCAUUUCUUUCAUAAAAAUCAUUUAUGUAUGGUUUUCGAACCAUUAGCCAUGAAUUUAAGAGAGGUAUUAAAAAAAUAUGGCAAGGAUGUUGGCUUGCAUGUUAAAGCUGUAAGAUCGUACACGCAGCAACUUUUCCUUGCAUUAAAAUUAUUAAAACGAGCGAAUAUUUUACACGCUGACAUUAAACCAGACAAUAUUCUAGUCAGUGAAAGUAAACUGGUAUUAAAACUUUGUGACUUUGGUUCUGCAUCUCAUGCUCAUGAAAAUGAGAUAACACCAUAUCUUGUAUCAAGAUUUUAUCGUGCUCCAGAAAUUAUUCUUGGUAUACCCUAUGAUUUUGGCAUUGACAUGUGGUCUGUUGGAUGCACAAUAUAUGAACUAUACACUGGAAAAAUAAUGUUUUCUGGCAAAACGAACAAUCAGAUGUUGAAAUUCUUCAUGGAUCUAAAGGGCAAAAUGCCUAAUAAACUAAUAAGGAAAGGAACCUUCAAGGAUCAACACUUUGACUCUAACUGCAAUUUUCUUUAUCAUGAAGUUGAUAAAGUUACUGAGCGGGAAAAAGUCGUCGUAAUGUCCACCCUCCCAGCAACUCGUGACCUUAAUGCUGAACUUGGUGGGAAUUCAUUACCACCCGAACAAAGUCGGAAAGUUGGUCAGCUUAAAGAUUUAUUAGAACGCACGUUGAUGUUGGAUGCAGGGAAAAGAAUCACUGUGAACCAUGCUCUGGCACACCCUUUUAUACAAGAAAAAAUUUAGAUGAAUCAUCAAUUCGAAUCAUCUUUAUGUGCAAGCGGACCUUUCAAGGGCCUUUAGCGCUGAUCCCGUUGCAAGCCCUCCCUGUGAGGAGGGGAGGCAACGGAAGAGAUCAGAUGCUGAGAAGGAAUAAUGAAAGGUGUCCCAAAGGAAUGGUAAAAACUACACCGUGUCGUCAUACCUGCUUAAACAAGAUAUCAUCAUCGAGUCAUCCAAAAAAUUGGAUCAUCAAAGAUCGAACUAAUUUGAGCCGGUACAAGGUUUGUCUUAAAGAUUCAUUAAGGAAAGCAAAACUGUAAGUACGUAUGCAGGUAAAGUAUAUAUCGUGAAAAUAAUUAAAAUAUUGCGAUUUUACAAUCCAUUAUUUAUAAGACGACAAACAAUGAUUAAGAUCUUAAUAAAUAUUCUAAUCACUAUGGCUUUGAGUUUUCAGAUAAUUAAUUAAGAGUAAUAAAAGGAUAUUACACAUGUAUAAUACUGAAGGAACAUACAAUGAAAAAGUACAAUGUAUUAAUAUUUAUAUAUAUGCACACGCAUUUUUAAUAUAUUAUACAAUAAAUAUAGUAAUAUAAUACAAUCACACCUAGAUAUGGAAACUUUGGAUUAAUGAAAUACUAUCUAUUAAUUUUCUGUACAAAAUGUAAUUAUGAAAAAAUAUAUUUUAUAUAUUAUACGA